UACGUAGGGUGCGAGCGUUAAUCGGAAUUACUGGGCGUAAAGAGCUUGUAGGCGGUUUGUCGCGUCUGCUGUGAAAUUUCGGGGCUCAACCCCGAACUUGCAGUGGGUACGGGCAGACUAGAGUGUGGUAGGGGAGACUGGAAUUCCUGGUGUAGCGGUGAAAUGCGCAGAUAUCAGGAGGAACACCGAUGGCGAAGGCAGGUCUCUGGGCCAUAACUGACGCUGAGAAGCGAAAGCAUGGGGAGCGAACAGG
rnacentral:rRNA from 1 species